CUACGGGUUGCUGCAGUGGGGAAUAUUGCACAAUGGGCGCAAGCCUGAUGCAGCAACGCCGCGUGAGGGAUGAAGGCCUUCGGGUUGUAAACCUCUUUUAGCAGGGAAGAAGCGAAAGUGACGGUACCUGCAGAAAAAGCACCGGCUAACUACGUGCCAGCAGCCGCGGUAAGACGUAGGGUGCAAGCGUUGUCCGGAAUUAUUGGGCGUAAAGAGCUCGUAGGCGGUUUGUCACGUCUGCUGUGAGAAUCCAAGGCUCAACCUUGGACUUGCAGUGGGUACGGGCAGGCUAGAGUGCGGUAGGGGGGAUGGGAAUUCCUGGUGUAGCGGUGGAAUGCGCAGAUAUCAGGAGGAACACCAAUGGCGAAGGCACAUCUCUGGGCCGUAACUGACGCUGAGGAGCGAAAGCGUGGGGAGCGAACAGGAUUAGAUACCCUCGUAGUC
rnacentral:rRNA from 1 species